rnacentral:rRNA from 1 species
GAUGAACGCUGGCGGCGUGCUUAACACAUGCAAGUCGAACGGGAAUUACUUUAUUGAAACUUCGGUCGAUAUGAUUUAAUUCUAGUGGCGGACGGGUGAGUAACGCGUGGGUAACCUGCCUUGUACAGGGGGAUAACAGUCAGAAAUGGCUGCUAAUACCGCAUAAGCGCACAGGACCGCAUGGUCCGGUGUGAAAAACUCCGGUGGUAUAAGAUGGACCCGCGUUGGAUUAGCUAGUUGGUGGGGUAACGGCCCACCAAGGCGACGAUCCAUAGCCGGCCUGAGAGGGUGAACGGCCACAUUGGGACUGAGACACGGCCCAGACUCCUACGGGAGGCAGCAGUGGGGAAUAUUGCACAAUGGGGGAAACCCUGAUGCAGCGACGCCGCGUGAAGGAAGAAGUAUCUCGGUAUGUAAACUUCUAUCAGCAGGGAAGAAAAUGACGGUAC